GAUGAAGAACGUAGCGAAAUGCGAUAAGUAAUGUGAAUUGCAGAAUUCAGUGAAUCAUCGAAUCUUUGAACGCACCUUGCGCUUCUUGGUACUCCGAGGAGCAUGCCUGUUUGAGUGUCAUUAAUAUAUCAACCUCUUCAGCUUAUGCUUGUUGAGUGUUGGAUGGUGGGGGUUUGCUGGUGUCUUAUGAAGUCAGCUCCUCUGAAAUGCAUUAGCGGAACAAUUUGUUGACCGUUCAUUGGUGUGAUAAAAAUAUCUACGCUAUUGACGUCAGUGAGUUCAGCUUCUAACAGUCCAUUGACUUGGACAAAUUUUUCAUUAAUGUGACCUCAAAUCAGGUAGGACUACCCGCUGAACUUAAGCAUAUCAAUAAGCGGAGGA
rnacentral:misc_RNA from 1 species